rnacentral:rRNA from 1 species
UACGUAGGGUGCAAGCGUUGUCCGGAAUUAUUGGGCGUAAAGGGCUCGUAGGCGGUCUGUCGCGUCGGGAGUGAAAACUCAGGGCUUAACCCUGAGCCUGCUUCCGAUACGGGCAGACUAGAGGUAUGCAGGGGAGAACGGAAGUCCUGGUGUAGCGGUGAAAUGCGCAGAUAUCAGGAGGAACACCGGUGGCGAAGGCGGUUCUCUGGGCCGAUACUGACGCUGAGGAGCGAAAGCGUGGGGAGCAAACAGG